rnacentral:rRNA from 1 species
GAUGAACGCUAGCGGCAGGCUUAACACAUGCAAGUCGAGGGGUAUUGGUUUUCGGACCAAGAGACCGGCGCACGGGUGCGUAACGCGUAUGCAAUCUACCUUUUGCAGAGGGAUAGCCCAGAGAAAUUUGGAUUAAUACCUCAUAGUAUAGUACUUUGGCAUCAAGGAACUAUUAAAGUCACAACGGCAAAGAUGAGCAUGCGUCCCAUUAGCUAGUUGGUAAGGUAACGGCUUACCAAGGCUACGAUGGGUAGGGGUCCUGAGAGGGAGAUCCCCCACACUGGUACUGAGACACGGACCAGACUCCUACGGGAGGCAGCAGUGAGGAAUAUUGGACAAUGGGCGCAAGCCUGAUCCAGCCAUGCCGCGUGCAGGAUGACGGUCCUAUGGAUUGUAAACUGCUUUUACACAGGAAGAAACAACGCUACGUGUAGCGUCUUGACGAUACUGUGAGAAUAAGGAUCGGCUAACUCCGUGCCAGCA